rnacentral:rRNA from 1 species
GUGGGGGGGGGGCCCCCCUGCCCCCAUGCCGAACUCAGAAGUGAAACGCCGUAGCGCCGAUGGUAGUGUGGGGUCUCCCCAUGCGAGAGUAGGGAACU